rnacentral:rRNA from 1 species
GAUCCUGGCUCAGGAUGAACGUUGGCGGCGUGCCUAACACAUGCAAGUCGAACGGAAAUAGCAAUAUUUGAGUGGCGCACGGGUGAGUAACACGUAGCUAAUCUACCUCAAAGCGCGGGAUAACGUGUCGAAAGACAGGCUAAUACCGCAUAAGCUCCCGAUCUGUAGAGGGUUGGGAGAAAAGGCGCAAGUCACUUUGAGAUGAGGCUGCGGCCCAUCAGCUAGUUGGUGCGGUAACGGCGUACCAAGGCGACGACGGGUAGGGGACCUGAGAGGGUGACCCCCACACUGGGACUGAGACACGGCCCAGACUCCUACGGGAGGCAGCAGUGAGGAAUAUUGCACAAUGGGCGAAAGCCUGAUGCAGCGACGCCGCGUGGGUGAAGAAGGUUUUUCGGAUCGUAAAACCCUUUUCUGUGUGACGAGCAAGGACGGUAGCACAGGAAUAAGUCUCGGCUAACUAUGUGCCAGCAGCCGCGGUAAAACGUAGGAGACAAACGUUA